GCGGCAGAGCCGGGAAGCCGGAACCGGGGGCCGGCGGCAUCGCUGAGGCUGGAGCCGCCCCCGAGCUACCGGAGAAGCUGGAAAGCUGAAAUGGAAGGGCUGAGUCCCCAGCCGCCCCCGCCGACCGACCGCCAGUUCAAGAAGAGAAGGUACAGGAAAUACAGCCAGACCAAAGAUUGUUCAGACCGCAGCUGACCGGAAGCCGUUGCCUUUUCAUUCAUUCAUUCUGCUCGCCUCGGUGGAGUCCUUUGAUAGGCAACGAGCCCUGAAACACAAGUUGGACUUGUAAAGGUUCGUCAGGAGGAAGAAAUUGACGCUCAGGAAGGAUAUACCCACAGAAUCGGACCCAGCGUCUCCCAGCGCAGCUCCCAAACAAGCCAAAGGUUGACUGGGCAACUCUGCUCCCAAAGGCAGAGAAGAGAGAAGAAACAGCUCCACUCACAGCACUCUGGGCUAGGCCUGGAGAUGGAACAAGGGCUGGACACCUCAGAACCAGAAACCAAAAUGUGGGGUCUCUAAAGAAACCGAAGCUUUCUCCUAAUUAUAACAGCUCCUAACUUACCAAAACUUGCUUUUGAGCAGAGCCUCUCACGUUUGUUAUCCCUGAAUUCUUGCCAAAGCUCUAUGAAGAAGAGGUUGUAAUUCCCCACUUUAUAAGCUUAGGCUCAAAGAGAGAUCGAGUUACUUGAUCAAAUUUUACAGCUGUGAAAUAACCGCCAUAGGAUUUGAACCCAGAACGUGUAGGAAUCCAAAGCUCACAGAGGUUAAGCCUCCCUGCAGAGCUGUGCCAUAGAGCAUGAUGGAGAUAAUGUGUAUCUCCAUCAAUACAGGCACCUCUACCCACACCCCAGCUGUGGAGCACUUGAAAUGUGGGUACUGGGAUUAAGAUCUUUGUUACUGUGCUGGGGACUGAACCCAGGGCCUCAUACGUGCCAAGCAUGCACUCUGCCAUUGAACUAUACCCCAGUGCAAAUUUUUUUUUUUUUUUGGUAACCAGGGAUCGAACUCGGGACCUUGCACUUGUGAGGCAGGCAGCGGAACCACUGAGCUAAAUCCCUGGCCCUCCCCCAGUGCAAAUUUUAAUAAAAAAUUAAACAGUGUA